rnacentral:rRNA from 1 species
AAUCAACGCUGGCGGCGCGCUUAACACAUGCAAGUCGAACGGGAAAGUGGAGCAAUCCAUGAGUACAGUGGCGUACGGGUGAGUAACACGUGGGUGAUCUACCUCUUAGUGGGGAAUAACCCUGGGAAACCGGAGCUAAUACCGCAUAAGCCCGAGAGGGGAAAGUGGCUUUGUGAAAACAGAGCCGCGCUGAGAGAGGAGCCCGCGGCCGAUUAGCUAGUUGGUAAGGGUAAAANCCACCAAGGCAGAGAUCGGUAGCCGGCCUGAGGAGGCACACGGCCACACUGGCUCUAGAAAC